rnacentral:rRNA from 1 species
AACGAACGCUGGCGGCAGGCUUAACACAUGCAAGUCGAGCGCCCCGCAAGGGGAGCGGCAGACGGGUGAGUAACGCGUGGGAACGUACCUUUUGGUUCGGAACAACUCCGGGAAACUGGAGCUAAUACCGGAUAAGCCCUAACGGGGAAAGAUUUAUCGCCGAAAGAUCGGCCCGCGUCUGAUUAGCUAGUUGGUGAGGUAACGGCUCACCAAGGCGACGAUCAGUAGCUGGUCUGAGAGGAUGAUCAGCCACACUGGGACUGAGACACGGCCCAGACUCCUACGGGAGGCAGCAGUGGGGAAUAUUGGACAAUGGGCGCAAGCCUGAUCCAGCCAUGCCGCGUGAGCGAUGAAGGCCUUAGGGUUGUAAAGCUCUUUUGUCCGGGAAGAUAAUGACUGUACCGGAAGAAUAAGCCCCGGCUAACUUCGUG